ACUUCAAAUUAUUACUCAAGGAAAAUAUAGGAAUUUCACUGGGCGAUUAUUCAGAAAAAAAUAAUACAUAUACAAAUAUUAGGUUUAAGAAGCCCUAGAAGAAAAUGUCACCAGAAAGAGUAGUCCGCUGAGCAGCUACAAACCAAAUGAAGUAUAUUAUCUUUAAUACAUACUAUAU